UCCUAGUGACAUCAUUUGAGCACCUGGAUCCAGCCACUCCUGCAGCUGACUACUCCUGCACUUUUCUGCUUCUCCCAGGCCCAACUGGAGACCACAGGAAGCACAGGACAACUCACACCUGUGCCAGCCUCCUGCCCAGCUGUGACAGAGCUCACCUUGCGCGAUCCUCAUAACAAGCCUGCAGGAGAGUCUUCUUUGCCUCCUUUACAGCGCCCGUGAGCCUUUCC